GAUGAACGCUGGCGGCGUGCCUAAUACAUGCAAGUCGAGCGAACGGACGAGGACCUUUCUUCUCUGAUGUUAGCGGCUGAUGGGUGAGUAACACGUGGAUAACCUACCUAUAAGACUCGGAUCACUUCGGGGAACCGAGGCUCAUAACAGAUCAUAUUUUGCCCCGCAUGGUUCCAAUGUGAAAUACGGUCUUGCUGACACUUCUAGAUGGAUCAGCGCUGCAUUAGCUAGUUGGUAAAGUAAGUGCUUACAAAGGCAACGAUGCUUACCGGACCUAAGAGGGACGUCGGCCAGCCGGGAACUGAGACACGGCCCAGACACCUACGGGAGGCAGCAGUAGGGAAUCUUCCGCGAGGGAGGAGAGCCUGACGUUGCACCGCCGCGUGAGUGAUGAUGGUCUUCGGAUCGUAAAGCGCUGUUAUUAGGGGUGAACAUAUGUGUAAGUAACUGUGCACAUCGUGACGGUACCUAAUCAGAAAGCCACGGCUAACUACGUG
rnacentral:rRNA from 1 species